GAGGAAAGUCCGGGCUCCACAGGGCAGGGUGCCAGGUAACGCCUGGGAGGCUAAAGCCUACGACCAGUGCAACAGAGAGCAAACCGCCGAUGGCCCACGCAAGUGGGAUCAGGUAAGGGUGAAAGGGUGCGGUAAGAGCGCACCGCGCGGCUGGUAACAGUCCGUGGCACGGUAAACUCCACCCGGAGCAAGGCCAAAUAGGGGUUCACAUGGUACGGCCCGUACUGAACCCGGGUAGGCUGCUUGAGCCAGUUCGCGAGGCCUGGCCUAGAUGAAUGACUGUCCACGACAGAACCCGGCUUA
rnacentral:RNase_P_RNA from 1 species